rnacentral:rRNA from 1 species
CCCUUAGAUGUUCUGGGCCGCACGCGUGCUACACUGAGUGGAUCAGCGGGUCAGGUUGCGCGAAAGUGUUUCCUAAUCUUUAAAUCCGCUCGUGAUGGGGAUUGACGGUUGCAAUUUUCCGUUACGAACGAGGAAUACCUUGUAAGCGCGGGUCAUCAUCCCGCGCUGAAUACGUCCCUGCCCUUUGUACACACCGCCCGUCGCUCCUACCGAUUGAGUGGUCCGGUGAGGCUUUGGGAUCUGAGCGGAAAGAGCGUUUCGCUGUUUCUGCCCGGAAAACUCAGUCGAACCUUAUCAUUUAGAGGAAGGAGAAGUCGUAACA